CCAAAUCACGACCUUCAAAAGAACAAGGUGGUUAACUGGUAUCUUUCCCUACAAAACUUGGUUUCUUUCAAGAUUCUAGUUUCAUUUAAAAUUAAUACAGGUGUGUUUGUCUGACAAAUACGAGACAGGCCACGUUAAUUUUUUAUACUUUUUACGGGAUCACAAAAAAACCAAUAUGCACAAAUCGCUCAACAACCACUUUCUUAGGGCUGAGAUGUGAAUCUCGCUCUAACAAACCUUAUGUUCUCUUACUCUGUCCCGGAAUGAGAAUGGUUAUAGAGUAACUCCUAAGGAUUCGACAAUGGAUUAUUGGAAUUUUCUGCGUUGCUGACAAUGGAUAUUACAACGUGAUUUGGGGAAUGGGCUAUGUACAGAUACAUGUUGUUUGAUGGAUGUCUUCAAUCAUGUUCUAAGUAAGCUGGAAGAAAGAUUCACUAAGAGAGUCUUUUGGAGCUGUGUUACGCUCAUUAUAUGGUAUAUUUGGGAUCCCUCAGGGAUGUUAACGUCACUUACUGCAAGAGGUCUUACAGAAUUACCAAUUUAGUGCAAUUUGAUAGAGGAUGUUGCACCACAGAGCUAGACCUAAUUCUUGGCAUAAAAACCAUGCUUAUUAAUCAUGAUAUUAUUCAUGAAUUAGCUCGCAGGUAGAUAUUUGAGUUUUAGAAGCUUCAUGUGACUCCUUUUCAAACCAAAAGAAAGGAAGGAAGAGGCAACUGAAAUUCAGGAUAUCCCUGCCCACUUAUUUGAUAGCUUUGCUGUCUGUCUGUCUGUCUGUCUGUCUGUCUGUCGGUCGGUCUGUCGGUUGGUCUGUCUGAGUGAAGGAACAAAGAUUUCUUUCUAUGAUCCACAUUACAGAUGUUUAAAUAAAACUACAAAGAAAAUCAAACUAAGUCAAACUAUUCAUUCAUUUGCAUGCUAAAUAAACUUUUAAAACGA